rnacentral:rRNA from 1 species
UACGUAGGUGGCGAGCGUUGUCCGGAUUUACUGGGCGUAAAGAGCGCGCAGGCGGUCGUUCAAGUCGCGUGUGAAAGCCCCCGGCUCAACUGGGGAGGGUCACGCGAUACUGAUCGACUCGAAGGCAGGAGAGGGAUGCGGAAUUCCAGGUGUAGCGGUGAAAUGCGUAGAUAUCUGGAGGAACACCGGUGGCGAAGGCGGGUCUCUGGGCCGAUGACUGACGCUGAGGAGCGAAAGCGUGGGGAGCGAACAGG